GAUAAACGCUGGCGGCGUGCUUAACACAUGCAAGUCGAACGAAGUUUUUCUUUCGGGAGGAAAUUAGUGGCGGACGGGUGAGUAACGCGUGGGUAACCUGCCCUGUACAGGGGGACAACAGCUGGAAACGGCUGCUAAUACCGCAUAAGCCCUUAGCACUGCAUGGUGCAUAGGGAAAAGGAGCAAUCCGGUACAGGAUGGACCCGCGUCUGAUUAGCCAGUUGGCAGGGUAACGGCCUACCAAAGCGACGAUCAGUAGCCGAUCUGAGAGGAUGUACGGCCACAUUGGGACUGAGACACGGCCCAGACUCCUACGGGAGGCAGCAGUGGGGAAUAUUGCACAAUGGAGGAGACUCUGAUGCAGCGAGGCCGCGUGAGUGAAGAAGUAUUUCGGUAUGUAAAGCUGUAUCAACAGGAAAGAAAAUGACGGUACCUGACUAAGAAGCACCGGCUAAAUACGUG
rnacentral:rRNA from 1 species